GAGUUUGAUCGUGGCUCAGAUUGAACGCUGGCGGCAUGCCUUACACAUGCAAGUCGAACGGCAGCACGGGAGCUUGCUCCUGGUGGCGAGUGGCGAACGGGUGAGUAAUGCAUCGGAACGUAUCCUGGAGUGGGGGAUAACGUAGCGAAAGUUACGCUAAUACCGCAUAUUCUGUGAGCAGGAAAGCGGGGGACCUUCGGGCCUCGCGCUCUUGGAGCGGCCGAUGUCGGAUUAGCUAGUUGGUGAGGUAAAGGCUCACCAAGGCGACGAUCCGUAGCAGGUCUGAGAGGAUGAUCUGCCACACCGUAGACGUAGACGAC
rnacentral:rRNA from 1 species